CGCAGCUGUGUCGAAUUCGGUGCCCGCCCACCCCGUGGCUCGCACCGGCCUGAAAGGCUGCCACAGAAAUGCUGUGACCCAUGGGAAAAAAAAAAAAAUGUGAAUCUAUAUUA